GACGAACGCUGGCGGCGUGCCUAAUACAUGCAAGUCGAACGCAUUUUCUUUCACCGUAGCUUGCUACACCGAAAGAAAGUGAGUGGCGAACGGGUGAGUAACACGUUGGUAACCUGCCCAUCAGCGGGGGAUAACACUUGGAAACAGGUGCUAAUACCGCAUAAUUCCAUUUACCGCAUGGUAGAUGGAUGAAAGGCGCUUUUGCGUCACUGAUGGAUGGACCCGCGGUGCAUUAGCUAGUUGGUGGGGUAACGGCCUACCAAGGCUGCGAUGCAUAGCCGACCUGAGAGGGUGAUCGGCCACACUGGGACUGAGACACGGCCCAGACUCCUACGGGAGGCAGCAGUAGGGAAUCUUCGGCAAUGGACGCAAGUCUGACCGAGCAACGCCGCGUGAGUGAAGAAGGUUUUCGGAUUGUAAAACUCUGUUGUUAGAGAAGAACAAGGAUGAGAGUGGAAAGUUCAUCCCUUGACGGUAUCUAACCAGAAAGCCACGGCUAACUACGUG
rnacentral:rRNA from 1 species